AGUGAACGCUGGCGGUAGGCCUAACACAUGCAAGUCGAACGGCAGCACAGUAAGAGUUUGCUCUUACGGGUGGCGAGUGGCGGACGGGUGAGGAAUACAUCGGAAUCUACUUUUUCGUGGGGGAUAACGUAGGGAAACUUACGCUAAUACCGCAUACGACCUACGGGUGAAAGCAGGGGAUCUUCGGACCUUGCGCGAUUGUAUGAGCCGAUGUCGGAUUAGCUAGUUGGCGGGGUAAAGGCCCACCGAGGCGACGAUACGUAGCUGGUCUGAGAGGAUGACCAGCCACACUAGAACUGAGACGCGGUACAGACUCCUACGGGAGGCAGCAGUGGGGAAUAUUGGACAAUGGGCGCAAGCCUGAUCCAGCCAGACCGCGUGAGUGAAGAAGGCCUUCGGGUCGUAAAGCCCUUUUAUUGGGAAAGAAAAGCUGCAUGUUGAUACCCCGCUGUUCUGACGGUACCCAAAGAAUAAGCACCGGCUAACUUCGUG
rnacentral:rRNA from 1 species